rnacentral:rRNA from 1 species
UACGUAGGGUGCGAGCGUUAAUCGGAAUUACUGGGCGUAAAGCGUGCGCAGGCGGUUGGUUAAGUCUGAUGGGAAAGCCCCGGGCUCAACCUGGGAAUGGCAUUGGAAACUGGCUGGCUAGAGUGUGGCAGAGGGGGGUGGAAUUCCGCGUGUAGCAGUGAAAUGCGUAGAGAUGCGGAGGAACACCGAUGGCGAAGGCAGCCCCCUGGGCUAGCACUGACGCUCAGGCACGAAAGCGUGGGGAGCAAACAGG